AAAUGGUACAACCAUGCACCAUUUCUUUCAUAAAGGAGAAUGUGAAUGUCAUGGACAGGAUAUUGCAAUCAAGCAUUCUUGCAAAUAUGGGAAGGAAGUUUGUUCAGUUCCAAAGUGAAAGAACAAUAGAUUUUCUUUAAAGCUGCAGUCUGUAAGGUCUUAGUCUCCUGACAAUUGCAAAGAUGAGAUGUAGCCCUAAGUGCAGUCUUGCCAGAAUUCAUGACAUGAGUCUGCUGCUUCAAAGGAAGAGAUUCAUUUAAAGUGAGGCACUAUCAAGGAAUUCGGAUUUACUUCAUCCUUUGUAAGAAAACAAACAGACACAAAAGCCCUUCCUAAACUAGGU